UACGGAGGGUGCAAGCAUUGAUCGGAAUUACUGGGCGUAAAGGGCGCGUAGGCGGCCCUGAAAGUCAGAUGUGAAAUUCUGGGGCUCAACCCCAGAGCUGCAUUUGAAACUUCAGGGCUUAGAGGAUGGAAAGGGAAAACGGAAUUCCACGUGUAGCGGUGAAAUGCGUAGAUAUGUGGAGGAACACCAGUGGUGAAGGCGGUUUUCUGUGCCGAACCAGACGCUGAAGCGCGAAAGCUAGGGGAGCAAACAGG
rnacentral:rRNA from 1 species